rnacentral:rRNA from 1 species
UGGCGGACGGGUGAGGAAUACAUCGGAAUCUACUCUGUCGUGGGGGAUAACGUAGGGAAACUUACGCUAAUACCGCAUACGACCUACGGGUGAAAGCAGGGGAUCUUCGGACCUUGCGCGAUUGAAUGAGCCGAUGCCGGAUUAGCUAGUUGGCGGGGUAAAGGCCCACCAAGGCGACGAUCCGUAGCUGGUCUGAGAGGAUGAUCAGCCACACUGGAACUGAGACACGGUCCAGACUCCUACGGGAGGCAGCAGCC